CCUACGGGAGGCAGCAGUGAGGAAUAUUGGUCAAUGGGCGCGAGCCUGAACCAGCCAAGUAGCGUGAAGGAUGACUGCCCUACGGGUUGUAAACUUCUUUUAUAAAGGAAUAAAGUGAGGCACGUGUGCCUUUUUGUAUGUACUUUAUGAAUAAGGAUCGACUAACUCCGUGCCAUCAGCCGCGGUAAUACGGAGGAUCCGAGCGUUAUCCGGAUUUAUUGGGUUUAAAGGGAGCGUAGAUGGGUUGUUAAGUCAGUUGUGAAAGUUUGCGGCUCAACCGUAAAAUUGCAAUUGAUACUGGCAGUCUUGAGUACAGUUGAGGUAGGCGGAAUUCGUGGUGUAGCGGUGAAAUGCUUAGAUAUCACGAAGAACUCCGAUUGCGAAGGCAGCUUACUAAACUGCCACUGACAUUGAUGCUCGAAAGUGUGGGUAUCAAACAGGAUUAGAUACCCCAGUAGUC
rnacentral:rRNA from 1 species